UACGUAGGGGGCAAGCGUUGUCCGGAUUUAUUGGGCGUAAAGAGCGUGUAGGCGGCUUGGUAGGUCCGCUGUGAAAACUCGAGGCUCAACCUCGAGAUGUCGGCGGAAACCACUUGGCUAGAGUCCGGAAGAGGAGAGUGGAAUUCCCGGUGUAGCGGUGAAAUGCGCAGAUAUCGGGAAGAACACCUAUGGCGAAGGCAGCUCUCUGGGACGGUACUGACGCUGAGACGCGAAAGCGUGGGGAGCGAACAGGAUUAGAAACCCUCGUAGUCC
rnacentral:rRNA from 1 species